UAUGCCGAGGCUUAAUCUUCCUCUCCAAACUAAACGAAAAGUACUGAGGAAACCUCUUCAAUUCCCCUAUAUCCCCAUUCAUCUCCUUCAAAAAAUACUCAACUUUCGGCCUAAAAUUUUUCUCAAUACUAAAUGUCAACAACCCAGGUGACCUCAAAACCAUAUUAACCACAUCAUCGCGUUCGAAUCCCAAACUCAACAUGUAAUCAAUUUUAGGGUUCAAUGUUAACUCAACACUGGAAACAAGCAAAACAGUAGUUCGACAAGUAAUCCGAUUCUGACCCACAAACCCAAAUUCCUUCAAAAACUCAAAUGUGGGUUUCAAUUGAUCUUCAACACUACAAACAAGAAUUCUCGGACAUCGGAUAAUGGAUUUCCGAAUGUCGUGAAAAGGGAUAACGACGUCGUUUAACAAGAAAUCGAAAAUUGGGUAAAGGUGGAUAUAAGGAUCGAAGAUGGGGGUUUAAUUGAAGGACUUUUGUGGGAUUGAUAUUGAGUUCUUGAAGAUAGAGUAUUUUCUCCCGGAAUUUGAGACCACAGUCAGUUGAAGUAAGGGUUGGUGGGGUGGAGAGGUGAAGGGAUUUGAGUGAGGUUUUUGUGGGUUUUGGAGAAAUUGAACAAAUGGGUAUUGGAGAAGAGGGGUUUGGGGUGAUGGAAGAAAAGGGGAUUAGGGUUUUGGGAGGGUUUAUCCAUGUUAGCAUCUCAGGUAGAAGAAGUGACAUUGAAGAAGAAAGGACUCUGUUUGCAUGCUUUGUGUUGGAGUUUAUUGAGAAAGAUGAUGACUACUUCAUUAGAGUUUUUCUUUGAGUUUGUGUUUUGUUGGGUAAAAACUACUUCUAUAGCCUAUCUCCUUAUCCCUAUUGUAAUUGUAUAUACCAAUUUCUUAUUUUAUUUUGAGCUAAUUGCUAAAAUAAUCCAUAAUGUAUUUUGGUUACGAGUGUUAUAUCUGAACUAUUUUAUGUAUAAGUUUUCUAAGUGAACUGUUGAAUAUUUAUCGAAACACACUUUGAUUAUCAGUUAUUCACUUUUCCUACCUGAAUGGUAGUAAUAUUUCAAGUAGGAAAAGUGAACAACUGAUAGUUCAAGUAUGUAUCGAUAAAUAUUUGGUGAUAGACUGAUAGUUCAGAUUGAGAAGUUCACACGCAUGAUAGUUUAGAUAUGAAACUCAAAAACUAGGAUACACCUAUCCUUCGACCUUUUAUUUUUGAAAAAAAAAAUAUACUACUAUGUAAGAGCCCUUUCAACUUGCCACUUACACAAUUUAGCUUUUGAGAAAAUUAGUAUAAUUCACAAAAAAACUUUACGUAAUUUAGUUAAUAAUACCAUGAGGCCACAAUACCCUCCCAACCUCCAAAAAAUCAAACUCAAAAUUUUAUCCACAACUUUGGGAAAUCGCAAAUUAUAUGUGAACGUGAUCACUGUAGCAAACUGUCAAUUUACAAACAAAUUUUGUUGUGAUUCAUGAUGUCUCACCAAUUGAGGAUAAUAGAUCAUUACUAGAUCUACCUCUCCGACUGAAUAUGAUAAAGCCUAUAAAACAUAGAGCUAUGUUUAAGAGAAAUCAAUCAACAAAGUUUGAUGAAAUUUGAAUUUGUAUGAUUGUGAAUAAAAUUGAAUAUUAUUAUAUAUAAUGUAUAAAAACCACUUGUAAUUUUGUAUAAUAUUAUACAUCAAGUUUUUAAACAUUUUCUGUAAAUUAGAAAAUGGAGGUUUUGUAUAAUAUUGUAUACUAUAUGUAUAUUAUUGUAUAUUUGAUUACAUACAAAUUAUCAUCAAUGAAUUAAAAAAAAUUCCAAUAUCAAAUCCUUGAAGAUGGUAAAGCCCAACGUUCUUCUGUAGGAUACAUUCAAAAGGCUUGAAGAUGAGUGAGAUAUUUGAAUGAAAAAAAAGAUUGAUAGCCCAUUGUGAAUUAUGAAGAAGAAACAGAUACCUAGACAACACUUGACCAACGUGAGUAUUGGCAUGUAUAUGAAACAUAUACUCUUAUUUUAUGAAUGUAUUAGUAUAUAUUUGAUAUCAGAUACAUGUAUCUAGAUAGUUGUAUCUACUUUUCUCCUUAGAAGUAUGUAUUAUGCACAAAUACAGUGUAUACAUCAUUGUAUACUUGAUACUUAAUACUACAGGAUAGACGAUACAUGUAUCUAAAUAAAUGUCUUCUAUCUUGUUCAAUUUGAUAUUGUGAAAGACAAAUGCAUUGUAUAGUACUAGAAAUUGAUACAUGCAUGUAUGCUAUGAAACAUAUACAUGUAUGGUAUAAAAAGAAGAUACACAAGCAUGCUUAUGUAUCAAAUAUCCGGUCAAGAGACGAGAGAGGUGAGAGGGAAAAGGUGUCACGAACUGUAUCUCAGAUAUAACCUCUUAGCGAGUGACAUACAAUGUAUAUUUGAUUAAAAUAGGAGAGAGGCAAAAGAAAGAGGAGCCAUGAGAGAGAAAGAAAAGAGGAGAGACACGAUCUAUAGUUAUUUUAAGUAUCAUUGCAUAACGUAAUUCCAAAAUAUACUAUCGUAUUUUGUGAAAUUUCCCCUAUAUAUUCCUCUUGCGUGAAUAAGCUAAGGAAAACCAGGAGAUAUAAGACGAGCCCAAAGAUAUUGGGCCUCUAAUUUGGCUUGUGACAUAAUGUCUAGCCCAAUAUCUAUAUGUAAGUUUUAAGGAAAUUUACCAAGUGAGACAAAAUGUCUCCACAUUUCAAUUUUAAUACUUAUGAAAUAUAAAAGAAUAACUAAAAGUAUAAAUCAGAAAUGACAUAGGAAAAUAAAUUCAAUUGAAUUGAAUAGGACUAGAAAUUGAACAGUAGCUCUAUGAUAAAAUUAUCAUCCUAUGGCCAGUGGCGGAUCCAGAAAUUUUAUUUCAUGAGUGCUCAAUUAUUUUUAGUUUGAGAAUUGCUAUAUAAAGUGGGUGCUUAGUUAAUACAUUUGAAUGAAUUAUUAGAUAUUACAAACAAAUAUUAGUGUUAAUUGCAAAAAAGCAAUGGGUGCUUAAGCACCCAUAAUCCAUAACAUACAUCCGCCACUGCCUAUGGCUAUGGCAAUCUAAGAUAAUUGACUUAAUGAGUUCGAGUUUGAAUCAGAACUAUUGGGUUCAUAUAAACUUAAUGUACAUAUCUCCAUAAUUCAUCAUACUCUUUACCUACCUAAUUUAUUACUGAAUUGAUCAAAUAAUUAUUUCUAACCCACAACUAUCUAUAUUUGUUUAAUGAAUUUUUAAACACAUACACAAAGUUAGAAUAAAAGCAACUACAUUUCAUCCAAAUUGUAUGGAAAAAGAAAAUCGUGUCUACUAAUUGGCUGCAUCAAUAUGUAACACGUGAUUAAAUCAUGUGCUACUAGAUAGCUUUUUUAGUACUAAGCGUAUGGUUAUUUCACAUCGAAAGAUAAGAAUUAAGAUACAUGAAAUUUUUUGUUUUUACUUUUUAUUUCUUGCAGAAUUUUUCCUUCUCAUCUUUCACAUCACAAUAUUAUAUUAUUUAUAAUAUAUAAAUUUUUUAAAAAUAGAAUAAGAAGAGAAGUAGGACAAGUAAGAUGAGCGAUAAAUGCGGCGAAAACACAUGUGAAAAUGUCUAAAAAAUAUGACAUCCCCAAAGAUCCCCUAUAUCUCUAUUUUCUUGGCCCCAUUAAUUAGCUCCCAUACAAUGGAGUUUGAAAAGUCGGAGACUGAGUGUCCGUUUGAAUUGACUUAUUUUAGGUAUUUUUAAACAGUUUUGUAGUGUUGGAUAAAGUUAAAAAGUGUUUAUAAGUAUUUAUUUUAAAGCCAAAAGUCGUAAGUUAGAAAUCCUAACUUAUAGCUUUUGGCUUAUAAGUCAUAAGCCAAAAGUCAAUCCAAACAGGCCUUGCGUUAGUGUUUGAUUAUAGAAAUAAAUAUAUAUCUAUAGAAUUAUAUUAUAUUAUUAUUAAUAAAUCUCACUUAUUUCUCAGCCAGAGUUGCAAUUAAAUUAAUAUUUAAUGGGAUAUCGAGGGACGUCCAAACUAAUAUGGGGUGAAAGGUAAAUUUAUACAAGUUGAAAGAGUUUUGGAAUAAUAUGAGUAAACCUACGGAUGAAAUUCUUGGUCCUUAUUAGUUUUCUAUCGCAUAUAAAAAAAUAAAUUAAUAUAGAUGACAACGAGUUAGACAAAAAAUAAAAGAGAUCAAAUAUAAAAAUAAAGAGUAAGCUCGCCAUUCAUUUUAACGAAGGAGGAUGAAAAAAGUGUCAUCUAGCCAUUGAAAGGAUGUUCCUAAUCACCUAAUGUUGAAUUAUUAUUAUUAUGGAUUAAUGUUAUUAGUGAUAAUUGAGCAUUAAAACUUAAAAGAUGUGAUUUUAACUUGAGAGUUUUCUUAUUAAAUGUUCAAACACUUGUUUUUGGCUUUAUUUGUUAGAGAAGUGCUUUCAUGUUGGUCUUUUUAAUGUAAAAUACUUGUAAUAUGACCUCUUUUCCAAAAAUAAUUUUCCUUUUCGGGAAGUGCUAAUGGCCAGAAAAUUUGGCCAGAAUUUGAUCAGAAAAUUUAAAAAGUUAUAAUAUUUUUUUUAUUUUAAAAUAAACUGAUGUUUUUUUUCUAUUUUUAGUUAAAAGAUAUUAAAGUUAAAAGGAUAAAAAUGUUUAAAAAGGUAAAAUAGCAUAGAUAAAAUAUUAUUCUGACCAAAUUUUCUGGCCAAAAAGAUUUUCCCUUUCCAAUAUUAAUAUUCAUAUUUAAUCAUCCUUAACUACAUAUUAAUAAAUAAAAUAAAUUAAGAGAGUGUUAAUGGGAUAUUGAGUCACUAGGCUCAAAACACAAGAAGAGAAAAGAAGGGCAGAUGGAAGAAGGUGAGGGGUGUUUGACUAGUCAUUGUCAGCCUUUUCAGGGCAUCACGCAUACCCUCAAUUCUUCCCAAUUUUCAAAUUUGAAUACUCUGAUAAUAUUCAAUUGAAAAUAAAUAAAAUAGAUAUAAUAUGUUAACAUGACUUUUAAUUUUUUAAAAUUUACAGAUAUUUAAAUUUAUAUAAAAUUAAAUAAAUAAAUAAAUAACACACAUAUUUUAUAUGACGUUUUACAAAUUAGUUCAAAUGUAUCUUACCUGAAUUGUCAUAUAGAGCACCAAAGUUUUUCCGAAAUUUGAAUUAAUAGUGUCAAAUUGGAUCACUUUAUAGGAGUUGAUGCAUUCAAUUUUUCUCAAAAAAACAAACAUAAUUUUAUUGAUAAAUAAUAUGAAUACUUGCUUGAUUCUUCUCUUUUCAUUUUCUCAGUGAUUCAUGGACGGUUAAUAAUGUAUAUCUCAAACAUAGAAUGGUUGGACCUCUUUGAGAUUUAUUUAAUCUUCUUGAAAUAUUUAACUUUAGAGAAAAAUCAAGUUACGUCUUAAUUUUUCUAUAAAUAUUUCAUGAAAUUAUUAAAAUUUCAAUAAGAUAUGUUCAACUAAAACAAAAUUAAAUUCGAUUAUCUAAAUGAUUUUCAUAUAAGAAAUAAAAAUAGUGUCACGUACCAUUGACCAUAGGCAAUACCAUUAAUUUCUAGUUGAGAGCUAAUGUAGCUUUCAAGAAUAGGUAGAUACGCAUUUAUUGCUUUCGAAUUAUAUAAUAUAAACAUUUGUAUUUUUAUUUUUUUAUGAAUUGCUUUAAAUUAUAAUUUCUUUAAAAAAUACUAAUAAUUUAGAUAUCGUGUUGGUGUAUUAUACCACAAAUACAAUAAAUUAUAGUUGAAAUAAAAUGACAAAAAUGAAUAAACAAAUAUUUAGGUUGAGGCGCGAAUAUCUCACUCUCUUUAAGGAGAUUCAAGCUCACUGCGGCAUAAUCUACACCGAUCCAGCAGUAUCACUCUUGACUUGUUCCCUCCAGGAUACAACAACCCAACAACGUCGUACAACUCAAACAACUUCGAAUUAGUUGAAGAUUUCAAAGCUCCACUAGAGAACACCUUCUUCAACAUAUAAUUACUCUCUUGUUUGUAUAGUGAAUACAGUUGAAAACUUAGAAUAUUUUUUUAUGUCUCAACUCUUUCUUUCACUACACUAACCUCAAUAUAAACUUUUCACGUUUUCUUACACUAUUUCUCUUCCACUUUAUCAAUCCAAAGGAAGACCACUAUUUAUAUGUGAUGAAUUUUUCCUUGAAAUAGAUAAAAGAUAAUGGAUAGUAAAUUUGAUAAGUGAAUGACCUAUAAGUUACAUAGGUUACCAGAAUAAAGAGGUAGAAUAAUGGGUGAAAUUAAUGGUAAAUCAUGGCAAUAAUGGGUUACAAGAGUUAAACCAAAGUAAUGAUUACAUUCUUGCCAACUUAUACCCACUAAUAAAUGCACUUAAUAUUUUUUUUUUAAUGUUUAAAUGCAGAAACACCAACGUAUCGUACCCAGUCAAACACAAUUCCAAAAAAGUAUAAAAAAAAGAUUAGGUAGAUGUCCCCACGUGCGUUAGUAAUUUAGUGUCAAAGAGACAGAAGCAGACCCAAACGGUUCGUCUGGUUACGUGUUGGACAUAUAUAAGACAGUACUACUACACCUUUGUUUAAAGCUGAUUAUUCAUUGCCCCCUUUUCGUUUUCGUAUUGAUGUUCGAUAAAAUUUGAAUUUACGAAUAUUUAUUUUUGAUGUUAAUAGUUUUAAUAGAAUUUUUUUUUUUUUUUUAUUAAAGAUGAAAAGAUGAUGAACGCUCCCUAACAACUAGUAGUAGAUAAGAUUCUUCUAUGUGAUGUUGUGACAAGUGGCAUGUAUUGGGAUGGAGAGUAUUAUUAUAUAUGAGUUCAAUUGAAAUAUGUGUUGUGGAGUCAUGAAUAGGAGGGUUAAGUGAAAAAAAACUUAUGAUCCAACUUAAAUUUGAACUUAUUAGAUAUUUAACGAUCAACUAUAUUAUUAAAAAGAUUAUCAAAAGGGAAAUGACAUCGGGUGAGAAGACAAUUGAAGACCGAUCAUGUUAUUCCAAUUAAAUAUGAAAAGGAUUUGAAAAGGAAAGCAAAAUAAUAGUUAUAUGAUCAACGAAUAAAUAAAUUGUGAUCACAUAACAACACAAAGACUACUUAGGAUAAGAAAAUCCCUCAUAGUAAAACAUAGAAGAGCUAUUGGAUAUAUAAGUAUUCAUGCUUAUAUAUUAGUGAAACAUUUUUAAAUAGUACAAAUUUAUGUUCAAAACAAACAAUAUCACUAGCGAAUUAAAUUGUUAAUUGUUACAGACAGAUGUGAAGCCAAUUGAGAAUGAAUACAACCAUAUUUUAAGGGGUGAAAAAAUAGAGAGGAAGAAGUGAAUCCAAAGAUAAAUUCUAUGGAUCAUACAAUUAAAAUAAUGUAAUUAAUAUGUCAGAGUUGUUAGUGAGCAUUACAUCAGCUAACUCAGAACUGAAAAUAUUGUCCUUUUUCCCACUGCAAAAAUAAUUUUUCCUAUCUGCACAUAGAUUUUCCAUAUCUCUAUUUUAACAAUACUCCAUAUUCUAUAUAUCUUGCAAAAUGGUUACUAUUUUUUUUUACAUAAACAUAAGUAGCAUAACCUGACAAUGUAAAACAUAUUUAUGUUAUGAGUAUAAUUUCACGAGUUAUGGUAGUUUAAGUGUCAUAUUUAUCGAUUACUAAUACUCCACCUGACUCAAUUUAUGUGAUGUUAAUUGUUUUGACACAAAAUUUAAGAGAGAAAAACUUUUGAUUCAAAACAAGUUAUAAAUAUUUAUGUGGCUAAAAAUUAUAUCCCAUUAAGAUAAAAUGAACAUUUUAAAGUUAGAAUACUACUUACGAUAGAAAUUGUCUUUGCAGUGAUCUAAUUAUAUAAAUAUCAUUUAUAUUGUUAGUGCAAUUGAGGUUUCAAAUCCAAUUUUAAAAUUUACAAGCAUCUUUCUUAUCAUAUCAAAUAAUAAUGAUAUGUGGUGUCCUAAGGUUUUGGAUUAAGUUUCCCAAUGAGUGCAAUCCUUAUGUUUAGUUGUCCUCGUUGAGCUUAGAACUCUGAACAAAUUGUCCGUAAUUAGUCAGAGAAAGGAUCAGGAAAAGGUCAAGUCAUCAUUCCCCGGACCUAUCUCAAUGAGAAUAAAAGGGUGUUGUGGAUGAUUUUUCUUCACCAUUUAUGAUUUCCCUCUUGAAUUUGCGUUAGCUAGUUAAAAGUGAUUUACUAGGGAGAGGAAUUAGACUAUCUCCUCAUGAGUUAAAAGAUAUAUUUCGAAGAUAUUAUUCAUAUAUUGUAUUUAUGAUAAUGAAUAUACCAUAUUAAUUCGAGGUUUGGAAUGACCUGGUGCUAAAGGAAACGUUUCAUUUGCCAUAACAAAAAUAAUUAUUACCAUUACUACAAAUUUAGAGAGACAAAAAAUAUCGCCUUAAUCGGCAAGGAAAAUGAACUUUGCUCCUCUGUGCUUUGAGUUAAUUUCUUGAGUUUUCACACCCAAUUAGUUUUAACUGAAUACCAAGGCUAAUGGAUCAAUUUGAAGUCCAUUACAUAUUUUGUAUAUUAGAUCAACCAAAGACAUUAGACUGUAAUUUUUCGAGUAAAGAAUUCACUCCCUUAAAGCCCACAACUCAAGAGAUCGUGAUAUAUUAAGAGAAACUUUCACAUAUAGCCAAUCAAAAAUAGCCUAAUUACUCUCCAUGACUGUAGUUUGAUAAUUACAAUUCGUUGCUACAUGUCAUGGGGAGGAGAGAGGCGAGCGAGACUGGGAGAGAGAGGACUAAGAGUUGGAGAGAGGUGAAUUGUAUAAGUAUAUCGGUUAGAUAAUUGUAUAUUAUACAUAUGUAUUUGUAUAUAUGGCAAGCGAGAUUGGGAGAGGGAGGAGAGAGGCAAGCGAGAGAGGGCAGAGAGUGGGAGAGAGGUGAAUUAUAUAUGUAUAUCAGUUAGAUAAUUGUAUAUUAUACAUACGCAUUUGUAUAUAUGGCAAGCAAGAUUGAGGGCAGAGAGUGGGAGAGAGGUGAAUGUAUAUGUAUAUCAGAUAGAUAAUUGUAUAUUAUACAUAUGUAUUUGUAUAUUCUAGCGAAUUAUACAUAUACAAACGUGGCUAAUUAUACAAACUCGAAGUCAGCCCACGUAAUUAAUGUAUAAUGUUAGUCGCGAGUGGUAAUUAUAGCAUACUAUAGCUAUGAUGAGUAAUUAAGUAGUAUAAAUUUGCUUAACCGCAUAAUUUUCCCAUAUAUUAACUACAUAUAUUACAGACACCAAUCUUUUAGCUUUAACUACUUCAUUUUCUAGCAGUAAGCCCACCUUCUUGGGCCUUAAAAGCCCAAGAGUCCAGCAACGUUGAUACUUCUUCAAAAGGCCCAUAAAUCUAAGGAAGGCCAGCUAUUUAUCAUACUUUAUAGGGAAAUUAUAUGAAAUAACAAAUUAUUAAUUCGAAAUAAAUGUUAUAACUACAGUUUUAUUUAAUUCUAAUUCGUAGCAAACACUUUGCCAUUAGCCUCUCUCCCCAGAAAUCUCGCUCGCCACUCUCCCUCGCCUCUCUCAUUUUAUACAAUACAAAUGUAUAAAUUGUGUUUGUUUUUGUAUAAAGCGAGAGAAAAUUGUAUAUAUACAAAUGCAAAUACAUAUAUUUUCGUCCUAUACACUUAUAAUUAUAUAAAUACAAAUAUUUCCCUACCAAUUCUUUUUUGCCUUUCUCUCUUUCUUGCUUUAUACAAACACAAUACAAUUACAAUGUAUAAUUUGUGUUGUAUAAAGCGAGAGAUAUUUGAUAUACAAAUGUUUUAUUUCGAUUCAAUUGCAUACAAAUUUAAAUUUUAUGCAGAUAUACAAACACAAUAAUUGAUACAUAUACAUAGUAGUUACAUAUAUACAAUUAUUUAAUUGAUAUACAUAUAUACGCUUUUAUACAAACGGCAUAUAGUUUGCUAGGAAACACAAAUAACAAAACUGUAGCUAUAGAGCGCUAAUAUGAUUUUUAAACCUAAAAUUUACUCAAAUGAACACCCAAUUAAGGUAUUUGGAUGGUCAGCUAGAAACAGUUCCGAGGCUUCUUUCAUCCACCCGUUUUCGCGAAAUCAUCGAUAUUGUCAAAGUACCAUCUUCUGUUUCGCAAACUAUUGCACACCCAAGAAACUAAAUAAAAGUAGUAUUAUUAUAAAUAAAAGGUAAAAUAACCAAAACCUCGUAAACUUGUCAAUUUGCUAAACUUUCAUUAUGUUUAUUCAAAUAAAAAAAAAUCACAAGGGAUCAUUUGUUCAUUUUCCCUUUUCACAACUUCCUAAAGCACAACAUUUGUUCGGUAACAAGGGAUUGACAAAAAUAUUUUUAAUUGGCUUAAGUCAAUUGGUUCCAACAAUGUGACAUUUGAAUUACAUUAAGUGGAAACCUAUGACAGGUACCCAGACACUGGAUGAAAAAACAAUGUAGUUGCUCGAUCUGAACUACUUAAUCCACGUGCUAGAUUGACCAUCCGCAGUGUAUGCACAAACUACUUCUACCAUGUAGAUUUGCAGUAGUUAAUCCACACUUCUUUUGGACAGUGAAACUAGGUAUUCUGGUCCAAAAGAGAUCAAUCAUGAGGGAGGACGAACCUCAACUUCACCUCAUACUCCAGCUUCCUCCACUGUCUCACACUUAUAGAUUAAUGCUUCAUCGUUUUUGCAAACUCCCUGCCAUAACAUGAGAGAUAUUUGUAUUUAGAACAAAAAUUUCCUCUUUUAUAAUAACCACAAAGAGCAUCAAAAUGAACUAUUAAUAACAGAAAGCAAAGCGAGAAGUUUAGAUACAUAUCGAGAUAUAUACCUCUACUUAUGACCUUUGUUUCUUAGAAGAGGAACAACUGGCUUCUUCAUGAUGUUCACUAUCGUCNNNNNNNNNNNNNNNNNNNNNNNNNNNNNNNNNNNNNNNNNNNNNNNNNNNNNNNNNNNNNNNNNNNNNNNNNNNNNNNNNNNNNNNNNNNNNNNNNNNNNNNNNNNNNNNNNNNNNNNNNNNNNNNNNNNNNNNNNNNNNNNNNNNNNNNNNNNNNNNNNNNNNNNNNNNNNNNNNNNNNNNNNNNNNNNNNNNNNNNNNNNNNNNNNNNNNNNNNNNNNNNNNNNNNNNNNNNNNNNNNNNNNNNNNNNNNNNNNNNNNNNNNNNNNNNNNNNNNNNNNNNNNNNNNNNNNNNNNNNNNNNNNNNNNNNNNNNNNNNNNNNNNNNNNNNNNNNNNNNNNNNNNNNNNNNNNNNNNNNNNNNNNNNNNNNNNNNNNNNNNNNNNNNNNNNNNNNNNNNNNNNNNNNNNNNNNNNNNNNNNNNNNNNNNNNNNNNNNNNNNNNNNNNNNNNNNNNNNNNNNNNNNNNNNNNNNNNNNNNNNNNNNNNNNNNNNNNNNNNNNNNNNNNNNNNNNNNNNNNNNNNNNNNNNNNNNNNNNNNNNNNNNNNNNNNNNNNNNNNNNNNNNNNNNNNNNNNNNNNNNNNNNNNNNNNNNNNNNNNNNNNNNNNNNNNNNNNNNNNNNNNNNNNNNNNNNNNNNNNNNNNNNNNNNNNNNNNNNNNNNNNNNNNNNNNNNNNNNNNNNNNNNNNNNNNNNNNNNNNNNNNNNNNNNNNNNNNNNNNNNNNNNNNNNNNNNNNNNNNNNNNNNNNNNNNNNNNNNNNNNNNNNNNNNNNNNNNNNNNNNNNNNNNNNNNNNNNNNNNNNNNNNNNNNNNNNNNNNNNNNNNNNNNNNNNNNNNNNNNNNNNNNNNNNNNNNNNNNNNNNNNNNNNNNNNNNNNNNNNNNNNNNNNNNNNNNNNNNNNNNNNNNNNNNNNNNNNNNNNNNNNNNNNNNNNNNNNNNNNNNNNNNNNNNNNNNNNNNNNNNNNNNNNNNNNNNNNNNNNAUAUACAAAUACAUAUAUUUUCGUCUUAUACACUUAUAAUUAUAUAAAUACAAAUAUUUCCCUACCAAUUCUUUUUUGCCUUUCUCUCUUUCUUGCUUUAUACAAACACAAUACAAUUACAAUGUAUAAUUUGUGUUGUAUAAAGCGAGAGAUAUUUGAUAUACAAAUGUUUUAUUUCGAUUCAAUUGCAUACAAAUUUAAAUUUUAUGCAGAUAUACAAACACAAUAAUUGAUACAUAUACAUAGUAGUUACAUAUAUACAAUUAUUUAAUUGAUAUACAUAUAUACGCUUUUAUACAAACGGCAUAUAGUUUGCUAGGAAACACAAAUAACAAAACUGUAGCUAUAGAGCGCUAAUAUGAUUUUUAAACCUAAAAUUUACUCAAAUGAACACCCAAUUAAGGUAUUUGGAUGGUCAGCUAGAAACAGUUCCGAGGCUUCUUUCAUCCACCCGUUUUCGCGAAAUCAUCGAUAUUGUCAAAGUACCAUCUUCUGUUUCGCAAACUAUUGCACACCCAAGAAACUAAAUAAAAGUAGUAUUAUUAUAAAUAAAAGGUAAAAUAACCAAAACCUCGUAAACUUGUCAAUUUGCUAAACUUUCAUUAUGUUUAUUCAAAUAAAAAAAAAUCACAAGGGAUCAUUUGUUCAUUUUCCCUUUUCACAACUUCCUAAAGCACAACAUUUGUUCGGUAACAAGGGAUUGACAAAAAUAUUUUUAAUUGGCUUAAGUCAAUUGGUUCCAACAAUGUGACAUUUGAAUUACAUUAAGUGGAAACCUAUGACAGGUACCCAGACACUGGAUGAAAAAACAAUGUAGUUGCUCGAUCUGAACUACUUAAUCCACGUGCUAGAUUGACCAUCCGCAGUGUAUGCACAAACUACUUCUACCAUGUAGAUUUGCAGUAGUUAAUCCACACUUCUUUUGGACAGUGAAACUAGGUAUUCUGGUCCAAAAGAGAUCAAUCAUGAGGGAGGACGAACCUCAACUUCACCUCAUACUCCAGCUUCCUCCACUGUCUCACACUUAUAGAUUAAUGCUUCAUCGUUUUUGCAAACUCCCUGCCAUAACAUGAGAGAUAUUUGUAUUUAGAACAAAAAUUUCCUCUAUUAUAAUAACCACAAAGAGCAUCAUAAUGAACUAUUAAUAACAGAAAGCAAAGCGAGAAGUUUAGAUACAUAUCGAGAUAUAUACCUCUACUUAUGACCUUUGUUUCUUAGAAGAGGAACAACUGGCUUCUUCAUGAUGUUCACUAUCGUCGUAUCUGAUCCUCCUUAUCCCCAUGGAAAGUUCUGUUGGUGGUUCAUCAUUGGUCUCAACAAGCUCAGAUUCAUAUUUAUAGAACAAACGAAGUCCACACUUCUUCAAUUCUUCAGGAAAAGAUAACAUAAUGUGCCCAUAGUCAUUUGGUGUUUUACCAUUUGCGUUAGAUGUAUCCCAUAUGCCAGCAAAAGGUACCAAGAAAAACUGAAUCACACAAUCUGGAAUACAUUCUGAAUAAUUGUAUAAGCCAAGUUUCUGGGUGAUACACGGCAUCCCUUCAGAACUAAUAAUCAAUUGAGCCAUGUUUUGAAUUAAACUUCCAGAGUAACAUACAGCAAAUCCCAAGAAGUUAUCUGAUACACACCAGUUUUCAGGCAAAUUGACUAAAACACUUUUAUCCAUUCCCUGAUAGUGGAACCAACUAGGGAUAUUACUCCCCCAACUCGUAAACACUCUUAACGACAAGGAAUCUGAAGCAGAGAUGUCAUGCUGGAAUGAUGAGAUAUUUUGAAAUAGUGAAUUACAGAUCAAAUCAUUGUGCCAAUCUGCACAUAUUGUAUCUAAUUGCGGUGGAAAUUCUGGCAACUGUGUAAGCCUCUUGCAACCUUCUAAGGAUAAGACUCGAAGAGCACCAAGUUGGGCUAUGCUUUGAGGCAAAUGCUCAAAAUUAUCUCCCUUGAGAUGCAACUUUAUCAAAGAGGAUAAGUAUCCAAUAUCUUCCGGAAUUCUUCCAUCUAUGAAAUUGGAGGAACUGAGCUUCAGGAUUUCCAAUGAGAGUAACCCGCCAUUAAUUGGAGGAAACACAAAGUACACUUCAUCUUCUGUUUCAAUUUUUACAAACUUCAAGGAUUUAAGCUUGUUCAAGCGGACAAUGGAAGAAGGAGGUCGUGAAAUUAGAGUACAUGUAGCAUCAAGUUCCUCCAAAUUUUCUAAAUCACCUAUCUCUUCGGGCAAGCUUUUAAUUGUAAAGCAGUACGACACAUUUAGCUUCACCAAACCUUUCAACUUAACAAUGCUGCUUGGAAGUGCUUCAAGGUUUUCCAUGCCACUCAAAUCUAGGUUUGUGAGAUCAGUUAGGUACUGAAUAGAUGAUGAAAAUUUCCUUAUCCAACCCUUUGCUGAGAGAAUCACUAACUCCGUCUUCAUUAAAUUAUAGCACGAUUGUAGAUCCAUAGAUUCAAGAGAUUUCAUGUUAACACAUGGAAAUCUCCUAAGCUUGUUACACCAAUUCAAAUUUAACUCAAUGAGGUUUUCGCAAUAUGCUAGGGAAUUGUGAACCUCUUCAAGUUCACUACAGUACUCCAGAUUCAAAUACUCCAAAUUUGGCAUCCCCGUGAAAUCUGGUGUUUGAACUAGGCUUUUAGAAAAGCAGAGAUCUAGCUUUCGUAGAGACGGCAAAUGCUGCUAUUCAAAAUAGAGAAAGAAUUAUCUUUGUGUUUAAUUUACCCCUUAGACCAAAAAUGAAUAAAGACAUUUGGAUUAUGAUAGUCUAACAAAAUAUUUUAAGUGAAAUUAGAAAAUGUUUUAUUUUAUUUUUAUAUUGAAAUUACUUGUUCAGAAACUAAAUAAAAGUGUUUAUUAUCUAUAAUCCUUUAGACUUGACAUGUUUUAUUCGAUACACACUUGAUUGUUACACUUAUCUUAAAUAUCCCCUAUAUAUACUUGACUAUUUACUACUUUCUCAAUUUCACAAAGAAUGGUCUAGUUUGACUUGACACGACGUUUAAGAAAAUAAAGAAAACUUUUGAAUCUGUGGUCCUACAUUAAAGUUAUGUCAAAUGUACAAAAUUGUCCUUUAAUCUUGUGGCCUUAAACAUGUCACGUGAAAAAAAAUGUUACCAAAAAUAGAAAAAGGUCAUUCUUUUUUAAACUGACUAAAAAAAAAAGGAGGUCAUUCUUUGUGAAACGGAGGGAGUAUCAUUUAUCUCUUGAACAUUGAUGUGGAAAAGAGUGAAUACACUCUUCUAGGUGCUUGAGUGAAAAGAAAAAUAGAGGGCAUAAUUUUAACCCCAAUUUAUGUUUUUUUUUUAAUUCUUUAGCUGUAAUGACUAUUUAUUUUAAUUAUCUAUUUUUCUCUUUUGGUGAGAGUGUUUAGUUGUCGGUGUAGAUCAAAUAUUAAAAAUAUGGCAUCUAGACAACUAUUAAACGGGGAAUGAAUUUACCCAAUGGAUUUUAUGUUUUAAGAGAAUAAGAGCCAUGUGGAUGUUACUUGAGUUUAACACUGUUACUUUUAAACGGAUUUUAUUAAGGAGAUUAAAAGUACUCCACUUUAGCAAAAUGAAGGGAUUAAAAAUAUUCAUAUUAUAUAUAUUUGAAGACCAAAAUGAACCUAUUCCUAUAGAUAUGGUAUAGUUUUAGCCCAAAUCCAAUAUAUGAAACCUUAAUCAUCAUUCAAGAAGAUAGUAGUAUAGAAUGAACUCCUUCGAUAAGUAUUCAUUUUGUCCCACUACAUAAAACCUAGGAUGAGAUUCAUAUUUUUGUAGGUAAAUAUUUGAAUGAUCAAAUUUUAAAUUGAGCUUCUUAGUUAAAAUAAUGAGGCAAGAUUUGAAAAAAAAGACAUAACGAUAUUAUAAUUUUAAUAGAAAAGGGACUAAAUUGCCCUUGAACUAUCAGAAAUAGCUCCAUUUUAUCCUUCAUUUGCUUUUGGUAUACCAAAAAUACCCUUGUUAUCUAUUUUUUGGACCAAAAAAUGCCUCCAAGCUAAUGUUGUCCACAUGAGCAUGUUAGGGCCAUUUAAAUAAUAGAAAAAGCUGACAUGACAAUUCAAUCUGACAAAAUAGGGUUAAAUUGCCUUUGAAGAAAUUGCUUAUUUAAUUUUUACAUUUAUAUGACGUUGGGUUUCGUCGUAUCAAUGAGUGAUUCUUACCUAAUCUAUUUUUUUAAAGUCGAACUUAACUUGAUUGUUUAAAAGUGUAUGUUACAUUAAAUCCAUCAGAAAAUAGAUGGCAGGGUGUUUUGGUUGUCAGAAGCAAAUGAAGGAUUAAUUGAGCUAUACUUGUUAGUUUAAGGACAAUUUUAGCCCUUUUUCAUAGUAACAAUAUGAAAACUCAAUAUUGUAUAACAUAUAUUAAUUUGAGUUUAUGGAAUUAAUAACUUAUUUCAUUUAAAUACAAAUACCAUAAUUCUAGGACAAGUAACCAUGUAAAGUAGAAAAAAGGGGCAAAUAUACAUCUUAACUAUGUGAUCUGGAGUGAGUAUACCUUUUGUUAAAAAUAUAAAAUGAUGCAUAUAUAACAUGAACGUUUAACAAAUAAUGCAUAUUUAUUAUUUUCAUUAACAAUUAAAUUUUAAAAAAAUUGAAGUUAGUUUUUUAAUUUCUAAACACUCACAUGGUUUUUUAAAAAAUUACUCACUCAAUUUUUACCCCUCUAGACCUAAUCCAACUAAAGAACCUCAUCGCUCUUUAUUCAGACCUGACUCAAACUCAUCCUAUGUUUGAGUAGAAGAUGGAUUGGGUUUUUAUUCAUUUGGGUUGGGUCUAGAGGGGAAAAAAAAUGAGUGGGGUAAUUUUUUAAAGCCACAUGAUAUUUUUGAAUUUUAAAAAUCAAUUUUAUAAUUAUUUUUUUAAUUCAAUAAAUACAGACCCGUUAACGGAAAUGGUACAUAUGCACCAUUUGUUAGACGACAUAGUAUAUAUAUCAUUUUUUUAAACAAAAGAUAUAUCAGUUUCAAAUCGCAAAGUUGAGGAUAUUUACCCUUUUCCUUAGAAAGUAGCUUAAAUAAAAUGGUACCUCUGUUUCCUUCCAUAAAUAAUGCAGCGAACUCCCACGAAGUUGAAGAUGAACAAGCUUUUCUGGUUUAAAAUUUUCUGGCAAUGAUUUCCAAGAAAAGGCAUUCCAGACUAACCAACGCAAGUUAUUGGACAGGUACUCAAUAGAGUCAUCAUGGUGAUUCGAAGAGGGACGUGAAGCAAAGAAAUUGGUAUUAGUAGCAACUAUGUGUAAUAUCCUAAGGCUUUUCAUUUUUUUCAUUGCCUCAUUAUUAAAGCAUAUUUCUUCUUCAAAGCAACAAAGCCGGAUUGCUUCCACUGUCAUGGUCCCCUGAUAAAAAGAUCAUGAGUCAACUAAUCAUAACUUCACAUGUUGCUUACAAGAAAUAUUUUGUGCAAAUAUUUAUACUUUCUAAUAAUACUUUUUUUUUAGAAGUUCUUUAGCAUCAAAUCAUAAAAAAUUCAAUGCAGUGAUAGAAUAAAUAUUGUAAUUGGAACAAUACAAAUAAUUGUCAUCUUUUAAUUAUUAUUUUUUCAAAUCAAUGAUUAAGUGAAUUCUUGGUUGAGGAUUGGUAUGUUAUGAUUUGACCCUUCUUACUUGUAUUUUUUUAUGUGAGGAUUUUUAUAGGGUAAAUAUGUGGGUGAUAUUAGCUUUAAAAACUAUUUACUUAUUGGUGUGUAUAACAUGCAAUCUUAAGAAAGAAACUGGAUAAAACAUAUUAAACACUAAUUCAUAGACGAUUAGCUAUGUUAGGCAAUUGAUGUUACUUUUGCUUCUUUUAUUAAGAAAAAUAAAAUAAAAUAAAGUAAAGUAAAAACCUAAAAUGACGUACCUGUAAGAAUAUGAAGCAAGAGGAACAAGUAAUUGGAAUUGAUUGGCUUAUACGUCUUUGAAAUAUAAAAAUUAGAAAUUAAAUAUUAUUGCAUUGUUUAGCUUACUUACUGUAUAGUCUAUCAUCACUUUUUUGAAAUCUUCAACAUCCCAUAUUCUGCUACGUUUUUUCGGAAGCUUUUGCAUUUUCACCACAUAUCUACCCAUAUCUCUAAUCAAAUCAUGCAUUUCAAUCAUAUUAUUUUCAGAGAUGAACACAAGAGAUUUAUUAAUCAGAACAUUCAAUCCGUAUUCAGCUCCAAAGUCACAACUCUCAAGAAUUUGCAUGACUUCUUUUCUUUUUUUUCCACGGAAUAAACAUGCAAUAUCUAGAAAUAUCUCUUGCUCUUCGAGCUCCAACCCAUCAUAACUUAUUUUGAGUUUUUUAACAAUUUCUGAAUUAGAGUUUUUCUUUAUCUGCUCUACAGUUUUUCUCCACAAAGUUAGACACUUUUUAUGCAAUAAAGAACCCCACACCUUGAGGGCUAAAGGAAGGCCUUUAGCGUGAUUUACUACCUCCAAUGAGAACUUCUUAAAACUCUCAUCUGGAUCUUCUUUUUUAAAAGCAUGCUUAUUGAAUAAUUGCAUAGCUUCAUGAUCAGGUAGUGUAGACACUUCGUAUAUCGCAUCAUCCUUCUCUAUCAAAUGUUUGUUUCUAGUUGUUAUAAUGACUCUGCUGCCAUUACCAAACCAACCAACAUCACCUGCUAAAUACUCCAAAUGCUCACUGUGAUCUAUAUCAUCAAGCACAAUUAGCACCUUCAUAGAACAAAGUAUGUUCGGAAUCAUGCGCUUCCCAUCAUACUUAUUAUUGACGUAACCUUUUUUUUCUCUUAAAAGUUCAGAGAGAAGGGUAUUUUGUAAAGAAUGCAGUUUAUUCUUUUUUGCAUUUUCUUUAACAUCUGCAAGAAAACAGGAAGCUUUAAAUUGAUAAGAUAUAGCAUCAAAAAUAGCUUUUGCUAUUGUUGUUUUACCGACUCCGCCUAUUCCCCAGAUCCCUAAAAUCCGAACAUCGUUGAUUUCCAUUUGAAGUUUGGAUUUUAGUUUCUCUAAGUGAUCGUUUAUUCCCACAACAUCUUGCAAAAAAGAUAAAGAAUAAGCAUUUGUGCGAAACUUGGAAGAGAUGCAGUCUACGAUCUGUUGAAUAUUCUCUGAUUCAAUCCUACAUAAAGAAGAAGAUUGAUAGUUUAGGAGGACUUUUAUGUAUCCUCUCUAAUUAAAUUGAUAGAACUAUGCCUUCUUAACAAUAAAAAUGUAUAUACACUACCAUCUAAAUAAUAAUCAAUGAAAUUAUGAAUGGAAAUUAUUCCAUUUUUUCAUUAAAAGUAAUUAUGUGUAUUCAACUAACCCGUCACGGAUAUCAUAUCCUUUUAGAUUUGCGGCAACAGUUAGGGCAUUUCUCCAUCUUUGCACCUUUUGCAUCCCCUCAACAUCAUCCUUAUACUUUAAUUCAUGUUCGGCAAAUGCUGCUCCAAAGCUUUCACUUUGGUUUCGAACAUGUGAUGGAUCCACAUCAUAGAAGAUUGGUAUGACUGUUUGUCCAUUUUCUUCAUCUUUGCAUUCCAUGAUCUUCACUAGUUCAUUCAAGCACCACCUAGAUGUAGCAUAAUUCUUUGAGAAGACAAUAAGUGCAACUUGAGACUCUUCGAUAGCUCUCAAGAGUUCUUUCGGAAUUGAAUCUCCAUGCUCUAGCCUUUUAUCAUCUUGAAAGGUGCUUAUUCCCCUAUUUUUCAAACCUUCAUACAAAUGACCCGUAAAUGUUUUUCGAGUGUCUUCACCUCUGAAGCUUAGAAACACAACGUACUUCCAUCGAGGACAAUACUUUGAAUUACUCGCAGAAGAAGAAGAAGAUGCCAUAGAAAUGGAUGAGAUCAAUUGAUGAUAUUUUGGACAAAGUCCUUGUAUUGACAAUUCAGACAAGGCGGCGGAGGAUAUGGCUGUUGUCCAUUCACUUUACAAAUAUGGAAAUGCCCUAGAACCUGAUAUUUGUUGGGCUGGAUCUUCUAGAUUAAUUUUAUGUUGUUUUGGUAUUUUUUAUUUGGGCCAAAAGUCCUUGUACUGAAUGUUGGUUUCAGAAAAGUUAAAUAAAAAGGCCAGCAGGCCACAAAAAUUUGAUUAAAAAACAAAGGUCCGAAUUUCAAAAAUGAAAAAUAUCUCAAAAGUUAAAUUAAUAUGGAAUGGAGGGAGUAGUUUAUGAAUAUUUACUUCUACCCUCAAUAUUAUAAAAUCAUAAUUAAACGGGUGAUUUGAAAUGAGGCAAUAGUACUUUAAUGCUCACGCUUAAUUCAAUCAAUUUAAUAAGAGUUAAAUGACAUUCAUAUUCUCUUUCAUUUAUAGUCUAUAAAUGUUUUUUUUCCUUUCUUUUCCUCCUUAUUUUCUGGUUUAUUGUUUACAUAUUAAUAAUAAAAAAUACUCCCUCCGUCCCAUUUUAUAUGUCAUCCCUUUCUAUAAAUAGCUGGAUCACAAUACUUGUCAUUUUAUAAAAUUUAUGCAUAAAUUACCAUAUACAUGUAUGGUAUAAAUAUUUUUUUUGGCAAACGAGAGAGUGACGAUCAAUAUUAAUGGUGUUAUUUGCAUCACAAAAAAAAAACAUAUGCAGUAUAUAUAUAUUUGAGUAUGUAAUAUAGCUCCUCAAAGCUUGUUCUAAUAAAAUGUAGUAUUCCAUAAAAUCAAUUUAGCAUAAAAUUUAUGAGAAGACUUUAUUAUGUGUUCAAUUGGAACAAAACAUAAUUUGAGGUUUAACAGAGGGCAAAACACUACCCCAACUUUAACUUUCAAAUAUCAGAAGCACAUGACUGACAGAUAACAACUCUUCCCAAGGCUCAACAGCAAGGAGGAAACUACAAUAGCAACCUUCAAGGUUCAACCAACUGUCACUCAACAAGCUUCGUCGAAAGUACAUGUUUGAUAUUAUAGAAGAAUGCCCUAGACAUAAGAUUUCGAGUAUCUAUAGAGUCAGAUAACGGAAUACCAACAAGAAUAUGUCAACAACAAAGUAUAACGAUUUUCUACAGACGUGGAGCAGCACAAAGUUAUUCAUCAACUAUUCAAAAUUUUGAACUUUGAUAUGAUGGUUUCUGCAUUCAACUAACUUUUCAACCAGUCUAAUGUAGUCAUAUAAAAAGAACGGAGUAAGUAUUUAUUAAGAGCCUCGGAUAUCUAAAGAGAUGAAUCCUAACUUCAAUAGUAAGGACAGAGCAGUGGUCAGUGAGUCUCAUUAUUAUUUUAUACACAGAGCAAUGCCUGUUUUAAGGCUCUAAAUCUCCUACCACACCAAGGAAAAUCACAUCCCUCUACAUAGGUGUGGCUAUAAUUACAUCUGGUCGCAACUAUACAAAGUACAGAACAAAAAAAUGCAAUCUUUGAGAAGCAAGUUACUAGAUGAACAUGCAUCUUCGAGAGCAAUACUUCAACACGAUAAAUCAUCCGUGGAUGAUAUCCGUUAUAAAAAACAAGAGCAUAUCAGAAUUUGAAUCGCGUUCCACAUGAAACAAUAAAAACCAUGUAUAGAGAACACCACAUCAUGGAUAAAAAUCAGUACUUAAAUAACACAACACAAGCAUAGCAAACUUCGAAUUGCAUUCCACGAGAAACAAUAAAAACCAUGAACAAGACCACAUCAAGGAUAAAAAUCAUUACUUUAUCGCAAAAAUGUACAUCUAACCACAAUGAAUAUAUGUUAAAACAUUUAGUAUUAACUCUAAUGAUUCUCCAACAUAUACAAAAAUCGACUCUACUCAUAGAAAAGAAUUGCUUACUUACUACAAUUGCUUAUCUUCCACUAUCCUCAAUCGCAUUUCAAUCAAUCUGGCAUUGAAUUCCCCAUCACUAACCUUCAACAUCUCCGAUAAAGAUAGCGAAAACCCAUGCUCCACCAAAAGUCUAUGCCGAGGCUUAAUCUUCCUCUCCAAACUAAACGAAAAGUACUGAGGAAACCUCUUCAAUUCCCCUAUAUCCCCAUUCAUCUCCUUCAAAAAAUACUCAACUUUCGGCCUAAAAUUUUUCUCAAUACUAAAUGUCAACAACCCAGGUGACCUCAAAACCAUAUUAACCACAUCAUCGCGUUCGAAUCCCAAACUCAACAUGUAAUCAAUUUUAGGGUUCAAUGUUAGCUCAACACUGGAAACAAGCAAAACAGUGGUUUGACAAGUAAUCCGAUUCUGACCCACAAACCCAAAUU
rnacentral:lncRNA from 1 species